GAUGAACGCUAGCUACAGGCUUAACACAUGCAAGUCGAGGGGCAGCGCAGUGUAGCAAUACAUGGGCGGCGACCGGCGCACGGGUGCGUAACGCGUAUCCAACCUUCCCGUUACUCAGGGAUAGCCUUCCGAAAGGGAGAUCAAUACCUGAUGGUGUUUGAAUUCCGCAUGUUAUUCAAACUAAAGAUUUAUCGGUAACGGAUGGGGAUGCGUGACAUUAGAUAGUAGGCGGGGUAACGGCCCACCUAGUCUACGAUGUCUAGGGGUUCUGAGAGGAAGGUCCCCCACACUGGAACUGAGACACGGUCCAGACUCCUACGGGAGGCAGCAGUGAGGAAUAUUGGUCAAUGGUCGGAAGACUGAACCAGCCAAGUAGCGUGAAGGAUGAAGGUUCUAUGGAUUGUAAACUUCUUUUAUACGGGAAUAAAACCUCCCACGUGUGGGAGCUUGUAUGUACCGUAUGAAUAAGCAUCGGCUAACUCCGUGCCAGCAGCCGCCGUAAUAC
rnacentral:rRNA from 1 species